CUGACAUCCCCAGAGACUGAAGUCUUCUGUUUAUUCCCAGAGCAGGUAUAGCCCAGGCAGCAGCAAUACAGGAUUCCGACACUGCUCCGAUAAUGUUCCUGAAUCCUAUCCAAGAGGACCUAGGAAUGAGAGCUCAGCAGGGAUCAGAUUGGUACUCUUCCACCUUCGCCCACA
rnacentral:sRNA from 1 species